AGAGAAAUCAGGGCUAAUGAACCAUCUAGGGACAGGCCAUGGGGGUUCAAUUUUGUGUAAGUGACAUGGCCAGAUCUAUAGGUGGACUAGGGGUGGACCAAAGGCAAUUUAAUUUUAAUUGUAAUUGAAGAUGUUGACGAAACCAUUGAAUGGAAGAUAUUGCAGAAGAAGAAAGAGCAGAAAACCAAGGAAAAACAUAGAAUAAGAACAAACGCAGCCAUAAAGAUCCAGGCCUGGUGGCGGGGCACCCUGGUGCGCAGGACACUGCUGCAUGCGGCCCUCAGGGCCUGGAUAAUUCAGUGCUGGUGGCGGAUGACGCUGUUGAGGGUGCUGGAGAAGAAACGGCAGGCAGCUCUGAUCGCCUACGCAACAAGAGAGAGGGCAGUGAUCAAGCUCCAGUCUUUGGUCCGCAUGUGGCGCAUCCACUGGCGAUACUGCCAGGUGCUCAACGCCAUCUAUGUCAUCCAGGGCCACUGGCAAUGCCACAACUGCCAGACCUGUGCUCUCCUCCGGGGCCACUGUGUGGUCACAGCCACUCACCUGCAGUUUCACAUUGAGAUAAUCAAUUCCUAAGGGCUGGCAGGAAGGGCACUGUGUCUACUGUCCUUAUUAAAGAUCUAACCUGGUCUUAUGUGUCUCACGGGGUCCCCCAGCUAAUGGGAAUCUUGAGACUUGAACCUUGCUGCCUCCUCUUCCUCCUGGCAAAGAAUUUCAGUGAGGUUUGCCCCUGUGUCCAUGGAACCUGUUUUGGGCUGGUAAUGGCUUUAGGAAGCUCCAGUCUGUCCUGAUGUAUGACAGAGCUAGAAAUUCCAUUCCCGUCCCCAGCCUUAUUUUGUUCUCACUGAGGGAUCUGGGAGGCAAUUGGGCUGCAUAUUCCUGGAGAUUCUGGGCACUUCUGCAUAUAUGGAUGGAUUAUUGGGCUCUGCCCUGUCAACCUAGAAUCAAGGUCAGCUGGGGUCUGGGAUGCCUCAGUUUCCUUUUAGGCAAGCACCUAGAUGGAAGAAUAGCAAUA